GGGAGAUGCACACAUUUCAGCGAGACAUAAAAAACAAGCAAUUUCAUGAGUGUGUGUGGUUUCAUCUUUUGAAGGAUGGAUCAUUCUUAGUGAGAGACAGUUCACAAGGUUCAGCACAUCCCUACACUCUGAUGCUGCUAAAUCAAGGCAAGAUUUUCAACAUUAAGAUCCAGAGACAAAAUGACUUCUAUUUUCUCGGAAAUGGCACAAACAACUCUAAGCGUUUCCUCAGGGUGAAGGAGAUGAUUAUCCAUCACAUGAACACCCCGCUGCUGCUCAAAGAUGCCACAGACCAGUGCUCUCAGGAGCAACCGCAGUGCUGUCUGCUGCACCCUGCGGGACUCUGACCACGCCAACAGCAGGCUUAAUAUUACCUCUGCUCCUCACGCCUCAGGUUAGGCUCAAAGUCCGGUCUGCUGCUGCUUCACCGCCUCUGGGAUUUUCUUUGGAGAAAUGCCUCUUUGUCAGGGUGGCUAACAGAGAUGAGCAGAUCGCAUUGCUUCAGAUGGGUUCG